rnacentral:rRNA from 1 species
UACGUAGGGCGCAAGCGUUGUCCGGAAUUAUUGGGCGUAAAGAGCUCGUAGGCGGCUUGUCACGUCGGAUGUGAAAGCCCGGGGCUUAACCCCGGGUCUGCAUUCGAUACGGGCUAGCUAGAGUGUGGUAGGGGAGAUCGGAAUUCCUGGUGUAGCGGUGAAAUGCGCAGAUAUCAGGAGGAACACCGGUGGUGUAGACGGCUUACUGGACCACGACUGACACUGAGGCACGAAAGCGUGGGUAGCAAACAGG